UCUAUGAUAAUAUUCAAGAUAAUAACCAAAAACAGCAAAAUUUCCUUAAAAUUACCAAUUCAGGGGCAGCAACCUAUCAACGGGUUGUCCGAUUCAUCUCAAAAUUUCAGGGCAGAUAGAUCUUGACCUGAUUAACAAUUUUACCCAUGUCAGAUUUGCUCUAAAUGCUUUGGUUUUUGAGUUAUAAGCCAAAAACUGCAUUUUACACCUAUGUUCUAUUUUUAGCCAUGGCGGCCAUCUUGGUUGGUUGGGCGGGUCACCGGACACAAUUUUUAAACUAGAUACCCUAAUAAUGAUUUUGACCAUGUUUGGUUAAAUUUGGCCAAGCAGUUUCAGAGGAGAAGAUUUUUGUAAAAGUUAACGACGACGGACGUCGGACGACGGACGGACGCCGGACGCCAAGUGAUGAGAAAAGCUCACUUGGCCCUUCGGGCCAGGUGAGCUAAAAAGGAGGCAGAAAA
rnacentral:lncRNA from 1 species